rnacentral:rRNA from 1 species
UACAGAGGUCUCAAGCGUUGUUCGGAUUCAUUGGGCGUAAAGGGUGCGUAGGCGGCGAGGCAAGUCGGAUGUGAAAUCUCAGGGCUCAACCCUGAAACUGCAUUCGAUACUGCUCUGCUCGAGGACUGGAGAGGAGAUUGGAAUUCACGGUGUAGCAGUGAAAUGCGUAGAUAUCGUGAGGAAGACCAGUGGCGAAGGCGGAUCUCUGGACAGUUCCUGACGCUGAGGCACGAAGGCCAGGGGAGCAAACGGG